rnacentral:rRNA from 1 species
GCAUAUCAAUAAGCGGAGGAAAAGAAACCAACAGGGAUUGCCUCAGUAACGGCGAGUGAAGCGGCAAGAGCUCAAAUUUGAAAGCUGGCCCCUUCGGGGUCCGCGUUGUAAUUUGCAGAGGAUGCUUCGGGUGCAGCCCCCGUCUAAGUGCCCUGGAACGGGCCGUCAUAGAGGGUGAGAAUCCCGUCUGGGACGGGGUGUCUGCGUCCGUGUGAAGCUCCUUCGACGAGUCGAGUUGUUUGGGAAUGCAGCUCUAAAUGGGUGGUAAAUUUCAUCUAAAGCUAAAUACUGGCCGGAGACCGAUAGCGCACAAGUAGAGUGAUCGAAAGAUGAAAAGCACUUUGAAAAGAGAGUUAAACAGCACGUGAAAUUGUUGAAAGGGAAGCGUUUGCGACCAGACUCGCCCGCGGGGUUCAGCCGGCAUUCGUGCCGGUGUACUUCCCCGUGGGCGGGCCAGCGUCGGUUUGGGCGGCCGGUCAAAGGCCCUCGGAAUGUAUCACCUCUCGGGGUGUCUUAUAGCCGAGGGUGCAAUGCGGCCUGCCUGGACCGAGGAACGCGCUUCGGCUCGGACG